GGUUAGUUUCCUAUUGGAAAAUCUCCAACUAAUUCAUCACAACCAGUUACAGAUUCCUUUGUUCCUUCUCCUUUCCCAUCGCUUCAUUUGACCAGCCUAAA
rnacentral:Y_RNA from 1 species